rnacentral:lncRNA from 1 species
UGGACUGCAAAAAUUCAAAAUGUCAAGGAUCAAAACGCAAAUGGCCAUUAAACAUCAAAACGGCGCCGUGUGUGGAUGCGCUGUUCAUCUUCUUCAACGGACGCCCACCGCCACCAUUACACCUGCAAUCAAUGGUUGGAAGAAACGGAUUGUUCUCUGGCUAUAAAAGCCAGAGAACGAAAGGUCACAGGGGGGCUAAAAGAAAAAAAGAAAGAGCAGACUUUCGUUCCCCUGGUUUCUUCUCAAAGAAACAGAGGAGACGAACGAACAGAGGGAGCAACACUAAAAAAACCAAGGGAACGGGCAGAUACAAAAAAAAACUGGGGGAAAGGAACCGAGGAGAAACCAAAAAAAAAACAGUGAAGAAUAACGCAAGCAGAACCCAGAGGAAAAACCCAGAAAAAGGGGGCAUAACCGAAAAGCCACUGGUGAUCACAGAACCGGGGGAGAGGAGAAAAUAAACAGACUUUCGUUCCUCUGUUUCUUCUCAAGGAAACAGAGGAGGUUAAAGAAAAAACAAAGCAACGAAGGAGGAGAAAAGGGCAGAACCGAGGGGACUGAAAAGUGAAAAGGAAUCACAGAACCAAGGAGAAAAAACUAAAAAAAAACUGGGAAAACAGGGAGGUGGAGGGACCGAGAACAGGAGGAACUGGAGCAAAAUCCAGAGAAAAAAACCCAGAAAACAGGGGAAGGCAGAGCACGAACUGAAACAGAAGAAAAACACAAGGGACAAUAAGAAAAAAAAAGACACACAGACAACGAGCAGGAGGACAAACAGAGACAUCACAGAAAGGAGAUUGAAGAGAAAACGGAAGAGAACGAACGAAACGGAGGUGGAGGGGAAGCCACCACACCUUCAUAUAUCAUCGUCUUCGUCUGUCUCUCAGCAAACACAUAGAAACAGAAAACCAGAGGGAGCACAGGAGAUCGAUCAAAUACCAGAAGCACGGAACCCACCGUUCGCAGAAUCAAAAGAACAAAGAAGAAGAAGG